rnacentral:SRP_RNA from 1 species
GCCAGGCAUGGUGGCCCAUGCUUGUAAUCCCAGCUACUUGGGAGGCUAAGGCAGGAGAAUUGCUUGAACCCAGGAGGUGGAGGUUGCAGUGAGCCAAGAUCAUGCCACUGCACUCUAGCCUGGGUGACAGAGCAAGACUCCGCCUCAA